GCGGCGUGCCUAACACAUGCAAGUCGUACGCGAAAGGGGAGCAAUCCCUGAGUAGAGUGGCAAACGGGUGAGUAACACGUGGGUGACCUGCCUCAGAGUGGGGGAUAACGUCCCGAAAGGGACGCUAAUACCGCAUAACAUCCUGCCUUUGGAAAGGCGGAGAUCAAAGCCGGGGAUCGCAAGACCUGGCGCUUGGAGAGGGGCCCGCGUCUGAUUAGCUAGUUGGUAGGGUAAUGGCCUACCAAGGCAACGAUCAGUAUCCGGCCUGAGAGGGCGGACGGACACACUGGGACUGAGACACGGCCCAGACUCCUACGGGAGGCAGCAGUGGGGAAUUGUUCGCAAUGGGCGCAAGCCUGACGACGCAACGCCGCGUGGAGGAUGAAGAUCUUCGGGUCGUAAACUCCUGUCGAGCGGGACGAACACUUAUCCGGCUAACAUCCGGGUAGGCUGACGGUACCGCUAAAGGAAGCCCCGGCUAACUCCGUGCCAGCAGCCGCGGUAAUACGGGGGGGGCAAGCGUUGUUCGGAAUUACUGGGCGUAAAGGGCUCGUAGGCGGCCAACUAAGUCGGACGUGAAAUCCCCAGGCUCAACCUGGGAACUGCGUCCGAUACUGGAUGGCUUGAAUCCGGGAGAGGGAUGCAGAAUUCCAGGUGUAGCGGUGAAAUGCGUAGAUAUCUGGAGGAAUACCGGUGGCGAAGGCGGCAUCCU
rnacentral:rRNA from 1 species